AUUUGGUCUCUGUAGUUUCCUCACCACUGAGCCAGUUGCAUCAAAACUCACAGUGGGGGUGGCCAAAUUAGGCAGAUGACUUGGCUCAGGAUCUCCAAAAUCCAUCAGCUUUGUUGCCUCUGAUGCCCUCCAUACAUGGGGUUCCUUUCUACCCUCACACAGUUCUUUGGAUAUCUGCACACGCAAGUUACCAGACAUCGCACGCUUGGAACAGCCAGUAUGCAGGGAGUCAUCAGUGUUUUUAAGUGAACACCUGAACUUCAUUGUGCUGUUUAUUUCAGGCUUUUUUUCACAUUUUAUGUGAAUGUGGCCACGGCACUCCUUACAGUUGCCUCUGAUUACAAUAUAUUUGUCUGUGACUGAUGGAUAGACCUUGGCUCUUUUAAAAGCAAAUGUGCAGGGGCAUUUCACUUCUUGCCAAAUGUGAUGAUUUAUCACAUGCGUCCAGAUACCAAGCUUCAAAAUUGUGUAUUCCCUUUUUUUUGUUUUAGGGAACUUGUUUUUGUAUGUUACUGUUUCAGGCAUAAAUUCAAUCCAUUUCUGAAAUGGAACUUCAAAAUCAAAAGUGCAGCAAUCUUUUGGACUGGAGGAAAGGGACCCUGGCUCAAAAUCAGUGUCAUCACUACUGCCACUUGUUUCAUGAUCACUUUCAUGAGUAAACCCUAAAGCAGUCCAGA